ACACUUUGAUGGAAGUUUUCAAAUUUUACUUCUCACACUUGCAAUUUUCCCACAUGUGGGAAACUUGACUGCAUAAUUUCUGGUAAUGGGAGACUGUGUUUGUGCUCUCCCCUG
ensembl:snRNA U1 U1 spliceosomal RNA